GGUAGAUGUUAAUCAGUGGCCUCUUGAGUGAAUGAUCAGUUUUGUCUGCAAUUAGUAAAAAACUAGCAAACUCUGGUUAUGGGAUGGAAAGAACAUCUGCCGAACGAAGAUACUCUAAAUAUGAAAGUUAGAAAAACCCUAGGGCCCCAGCAGGCAACAUUGUGAGAAACCAGACAAAUGAAGGAAAGUGGAUGAAAGUGAUAUGUACAUUCUUGGGGAUUGUUCUCAAAAUGAAAUGUAUUUAAAGCAAACAGGAUCUCAGCUACUGGGAGCUGGUCUGGUGGGAUGUGGCCAAAUAGAAUUCCAACGAACCCAAGAGGUCUUCUAUAUCUUUGACCACUGUGUUGCUUUUGUCUGCUUUGAUGCAAUCUCCAUGGAAGCUGAGAUGAAUCUCCAUCCUCCACGGACAUUUUUCUAAAAUAAUCACAAUGUCAUUUUUUCUUGAAUCUUCUCUAGCUUUCCCUUAAAAUAAUACAAAAUCCAAGCUGGAAGAGUCACUGGGGACCAUGAUCAGUAAUUGACUUCCCCUGGUCAGUAACUCAGAUAUUCCUAAUUAUCGAAUUAUCAAAUCUUAAAAAUUAACUACAUUGCCAGCAAGACUAUCUCAGAACAACACUGACUGUCUUCCCAGGCCCAACCAAUCCCUUUGACAGACUGAUUGCCUCCGGGAAAGUCACACCUUGAGUUAAACAAACAAAACAGGUUA
rnacentral:lncRNA from 1 species